GGAAGGAUCAUUAAAAAUUGGACUCCAUUGGUGAGUUCAUUAAUAAUCCCUACCCUUUGUGAAUUUGUUUGUUUGAAUAAUUUUUUUUCCAAAAAAAAUUAUUGAAUGUCUUUCCUUGUUUUGGUGGAGCUUGUAAAGUGAAACCAGGCAGGGGAAUGGCAAACAAUAAUUAUUUUUGAAAAAGACCUUUUUUUAAAAUUAAACUUUCCGUAUUCAUUUGUCUAAAAUUAAUUUUUAUAAUAUAAAAACAACUUUUGACAAUGGAUCUCUUGGUUCUCGCAACGAUGAAGAACGCAGCAAAAUGCGAUAAGUAGUGUGAAUUGCAGAAUACGUGAAUCAUCGAAUCUUCGAACGCAUAUUGCACUUUUUUAGUUUACUAAAAAAGUAUGUCUGUUUGAGUAUCAGUAAAAUAUUCUCAUAAAAAACAUUGUUUUUUUUAUGGUUAUGAGUGUUUUACAACGAUAACAAGUUGUUUCACUUUAAAUUCUUUGUUAUCAAAAAAAUCAUUAAAAGCUAAUUUUAAAGAUUUUUUAAAAUUGGAUAAAAUUUUCCCGUAAAAAGGAAUAACCUAAACAAUUUUAAAAAAUUAAAAUUGGUUUGAUUUUUUUUGAAACCCAAAGGAAAAAAAACGAAAUUAACUUGAUCUCAAAUCAGAUAAGAGUACCCGCUGAACUUAAGCAUAUCAAUAAGCGGAGGAAAAGAAACUAACUAGGAUUCCCUCAGUAACGGCGAGUGAAGCGGGAAGAGCUCAAAUUUGAAAUCUUCAAGGUUUUACCUUGACGAAUUGUAGUUUAAAGAAGUGUUUUCUGUUGGAGUUUUGGUAAAAGUUCUUUGGAAUAGGACAUCAUAGAGGGUGAGAAUCCCGUAUUUGACCAUUAUUUUCAGCUGUGUGAUACACUUUCAAAGAGUCGGAUUGUUUGGAAUGCCAGUCCAAAAUGGGUGGUAAAUUUCAUCUAAAGCUAAAUAUUGGCGAGAGACCGAUAGCGAACAAGUACCGUGAGGGAAAGAUGAAAAGAACUUUGAAAAGAGAGUUAAACAGUACGUGAAAUUGUCAAAAGGGAAGCGUUUGACACCAGUGUUGUUUUCUCGAAAAUCAAUUAAAAAAAGUCUGGAUUUUGUGGUGUAUUUGACCUUAACAGCUUGUCUUCACUCUUUUCUUGCUUUUUUUAAUGCACUUUUUCGUUUAACAAGUCAACAUCAGUUU
rnacentral:misc_RNA from 1 species